rnacentral:rRNA from 1 species
GAUGAACGCUGGCGGCGUGCUAACACAUGCAAGUCGAGCGAGAAGUUUUGAAAAGAUUCUUCGGAUGAAAUUUAAAAUGGAAAGCGGCGGACGGGUGAGUAACGCGUAGGCAACCGGCCCCAUACAAAGGGAUAGCAUUUGGAAACGAAUAUUAAUACCUUAUGAAACUUAACUAGUGCAUGCUAGGUAGGUCAAAGAUUUAUCGGUAUGGGAUGGGCCUGCGUCUGAUUAGCUAGUUGGUGAGGUAACGGCUCACCAAGGCGACGAUCAGUAGCCGACCUGAGAGGGUGAACGGCCACAUUGGAACUGAGACACGGUCCAAACUCCUACGGGAGGCAGCAGUGGGGAAUAUUGCACAAUGGGGGAAACCCUGAUGCAGCAACGCCGCGUGAACGAUGAAGGCCUUUGGGUCGUAAAGUUCUGUUCUAGGUGAUGAAAACUGACAGUAACUUAGGAGAAAGCCCCGGUAA